UAGGGAAUCUUCGGCAAUGGACGGAAGUCUGACCGAGCAACGCCGCGUGAGUGAAGAAGGUUUUCGGAUCGUAAAGCUCUGUUGUUAGAGAAGAACGUUGGUAGGAGUGGAAAAUCUACCAAGUGACGGUAACUAACCAGAAAGGGACGGCUAACUACGUGCCAGCAGCCGCGGUAAUACGUAGGUCCCGAGCGUUGUCCGGAUUUAUUGGGCGUAAAGCGAGCGCAGGCGGUUCUUUAAGUCUGAAGUUAAAGGCAGUGGCUUAACCAUUGUACGCUUUGGAAACUGGAGGACUUGAGUGCAGAAGGGGAGAGUGGAAUUCCAUGUGUAGCGGUGAAAUGCGUAGAUAUAUGGAGGAACACCGGUGGCGAAAGCGGCUCUCUGGUCUGUAACUGACGCCGAGGCUCGAAAGCGUGGGGAGCAAACAGGAUUAGAUACCCUGGUAGUCCACGCCGUAAACGAUGAGUGCUAGGUGUUAGGCCCUUUCCGGGGCUUAGUGCCGCAGCUAACGCAUUAAGCACUCCGCCUGGGGAGUACGACCGCAAGGUUG
rnacentral:rRNA from 1 species